UUUCAGUUUGGGUCUUCUGUAGGCCAAGUGUUCAGGGUGGGUUUAGGGCAUACGGAAUACUGGUGAAGACCUGGAGUAUGGCUAGGCAAACCCAUUUGGAGAGGACACGAGGGAGGUUGGGAACCGUGGAGGGCGCAAGUAGGACGGGGAUGGUGGUGCUACGCGAGGCAAUGAUGUCUGCGUUUCCUAACCACGGUUAUUAACAAUCAGCCGAGGCCGCUUCAGCUGUCGGUGCAGGCAGUGAGGUUGGGAUGGGGGCUCAGGAUCUGUUUCUCUUUCUGCUACUAACUAGUCUUGUGCACUCGAUUAAGGCGUUUCCCAUGUCUGGGCCUCUUUCCUACCUGUAGAGUGAAGUCGGUCUUGCUGGUUUCAGCUUUUUUUUUUUUUUUUGAGGGGGUUGAUUACUGGGGAUUGAACUCAGGGGCACUCGACCACUGAGCCACAUCCCCAGCCCUAUUUUGUAUUUUAUUUAGAGACAGGGUCUCACUGAGUUGCUUAGCGCCUCGUUUUUGCCGAGGCUGGCUUUAAACUCGUGAUCCUCCUGCCUCAGCCUCCUGAGCCGCUGGAAUUAUAGGCGGGCGCCAUAGCGCCCGGUUCAUUUAAGCAUUCUUGAAACCCAGAAUAUUGGUUUCCAGCAAUACACUGAAAGGCACAGAGGUGGUUCUCAUUGCUUUGGGGAAAGGUCCCAGUGUGAAACGAAGGCUUGGCUCCGACCCCUCUGGAGUGUCUGAAUGCUAUCCAGAACUUUGUGUCCUUAAUUUGAGUUGACGUUAAUUUGGAUUGAAUACUGGGCCUGCUCUGGGUGCUGGGUGGGAGAGAAUAGCAGUAUGACCCUUAUACUCUCAACUUUGAGUGCUAUGUAAAUUCCUUUCUAAAAGGGGGAAAUUCCCAGAACUGGAAAUAAGUCCGUGGGUCUUGGUUUGGGUGAUGACCUUGUGCCAGUUUGAUGUUGAAAAUAAGAAUGCAGGCCCUGAAACUUAGUGGCAAGAAGGUGACUCAUAUAAAUGAGCUCAAAUGUAUUUACUUGAUAGGUAGAUUACCUGGUUCAGAAUGGAAACAACAUUUAGGUCCAAAUGUUUUGCACUUGCGGAUGCCUGUGAAUAGCUAGGAUCUACAGGACUGAGUUUGAGAAAGUGCUCGGGACUAAUUCCUUGUAAAAAAUCAAAUGUAAGCUUUGUUUUUAUUUUUUAUUGACA
rnacentral:lncRNA from 1 species